AAGUCGUAACAAGGUUUCCGUAGGUGAACCUGCGGAAGGAUCAUUAUUGAAAUAAACCUGAUGGGCUGUUGCUGGUUCUCUAGGGAGCAUGUGCACGCCUUGUCAUUUUUAUAUUUCCACCUGUGCACUUUUUGUAGACCUUUCAGGUCUAUGUUUGCUCAUUUUAACCCCAAUGUAUGUCGAUAGAAUGUUGUGCCUUUAUAAUGUAUACAACUUUCAGCAACGGAUCUCUUGGCUCUC
rnacentral:misc_RNA from 1 species